rnacentral:rRNA from 1 species
UGCCAGACUCCUACGGGAGGCAGCAGUGGGGGAUAUUGCACAAUGGGGGGAACCCUGAUGCAGCGACGCCGCGUGGGUGAAGGAGCGUUUCGGCGCGUAAAGCCCUAUCGGCAGGGAAGAAGGAGGACGGUACCUGACUAAGAAGCCCCGGCUAACUACGUGCCAGCAGCCGCGGUAAUACGUAGGGGGCAAGCGUUAUCCGGAUUUACUGGGUGGAAAGGGGGCGCAGACGGCAGCGCAAGCCAGGAGGGAAAGGCCGGGGCCCAACCCCGGGACUGCCCUUGGAACUGCGUGGCUGGAGUGCAGGAGGGGCAGGCGGAAUUCCUGGUGUAGCGGUGAAAUGCGUAGAUAUCAGGAGGAACACCGGCGGCGAAGGCGGCCUGCUGGACCGCGACUGACGUUGAGGCUCGAAAGCGUGGGGAGCGAACAGGAUUAGAUACCCGCGUAAC